rnacentral:rRNA from 1 species
UACGGAGGGGGCUAGCGUUGUUCGGAAUUACUGGGCGUAAAGCGCACGUAGGCGGCUUUGUAAGUUAGAGGUGAAAGCCCGGGGCUCAACUCCGGAAUUGCCUUUAAGACUGCAUCGCUAGAAUUGUGGAGAGGUAAGUGGGAAUUCCGAGUGUAGAGGUGAAAUCGUAGAUAUUCGGAAGAACACCAGUGGCGAAGGCGACUUACUGGACACAUAUUGACGCUG